rnacentral:rRNA from 1 species
AUGUGUAGGAUAGGUGGGAGGCUUUGAAGUGUGGACGCCAGUCUGCAUGGAGCCGACCUUGAAAUACCACCCUUUAAUGUUUGAUGUUCUAACGUGGACCCGUUACCCGGGUUGCGGACAGUGUCUGGUGGGUAGUUUGACUGGGGCGGUCUCCUCCUAAAGAGUAACGGAGGAGCACGAAGGUUGGCUAAUCCUGGUCGGACAUCAGG